AUUGAACGCUGGCGGCAGGCCUAACACAUGCAAGUCGAACGGUAACAGGAAGCAGCUUGCUGCUUUGCUGACGAGUGGCGGACGGGUGAGUAAUGACUGGGAAACUGCCUGAUGGAGGGGGAUAACUACUGGAAACGGUAGCUAAUACCGCAUAACGUCGCAAGACCAAAGAGGGGGACCUUCGGGCCUCUUGCCAUCGGAUGUGCCCAGAUGGGAUUAGCUAGUAGGUGGGGUAACGGCUCACCUAGGCGACGAUCCCUAGCUGGCCUGAGAGGAUGACCAGCCACACUGGAACUGAGACACGGUCCAGACUCCUACGGGAGGCAGCAGUGGGGAAUAUUGCACAAUGGGCGCAAGCCUGAUGCAGUCAUGCCGCGUGUAUGAAGAAGGCCUUCGGGUUGUAAAGUACUUUCAGCGGGGAGGAAGGGAGUAAAGUUAAUACCUUUGCUCAUUGACGUUACCCGCAGAAGAAGCACCGGCUAACUCCGUG
rnacentral:rRNA from 1 species